GUGUUCCCUUCAGCAGCACAUAUACUAAAACUGGACGGAUCCAGACAAGAUUAGCAUGGCUCCUGCACAAAAGGGGAGUAUUGAGUGGUUUGUAAUGUAU
rnacentral:snRNA from 1 species